UACAGAGGGGGCAAGCGUUGUUCGGAAUUACUGGGCGUAAAGGGCGCGUAGGCGGCCUGUUAAGUCGAACGUGAAAUCCCUGGGCUCAACCCAGGAACUGCGUCCGAUACUGGCAGGCUUGAAUCCGGGAGAGGGAUGUGGAAUUCCAGGUGUAGCGGUGAAAUGCGUAGAUAUCUGGAGGAACACCGGUGGUGUAAACGGCUUUCUGGACCGUAACUGACGCUGAGGCACGAAAGCGCGGGUAGCAAACAGG
rnacentral:rRNA from 1 species